UUCUGUCUCCCAAGUGCUGGGAUUAAAGGUGUACACCACCACCACCACCACCACCACCACCACCACCACCACCACAACCCAGCUUUGGACAUCCAUAAUGAGAGGCGCUAAGCUCUGACAGAGAAGGGGACGGAAAACAUAGCCAACAGAGCCCAGGUCCCAUCUGUGGUCGCCUCUGACGGCUGCCGUGUCUGAUGAGGAAAUACCGGCCCUGGGAGAUUGCUUGGCUUGCUGCAGUCCACAUAACUGAUCCGAAAAAGAAAACCAAACCUAAUAAUAUCUGGAGUCCCGGAGUGGCCAUGACAGCUCAGCGGGUUAGAAGUGUUUGUCACGCAAGCUUGA